rnacentral:tRNA from 4 species
GCCCGCGUGACGCAAUGGAUAGCGUGCCAGACUUCUAAUCUGGAAGUUGCGGGUUCGAGUCCCGUCGUGGGUA